AUUGAACGCUGGCGGCAUGCUUUACACAUGCAAGUCGAACGGCAGCACGGACUUCGGUCUGGUGGCGAGUGGCGAACGGGUGAGUAAUACAUCGGAACGUGCCCAGUUGUGGGGGAUAACUACUCGAAAGAGUAGCUAAUACCGCAUGAGAACUGAGGUUGAAAGCAGGGGAUCGUAAGACCUUGCGCAACUGGAGCGGCCGAUGGCAGAUUAGGUAGUUGGUGGGAUAAAAGCUUACCAAGCCGACGAUCUGUAGCUGGUCUGAGAGGACAACCAGCGACACUGGGGCUGAGACACGGCCCGGAAUCCUACGGGAGGCAGCAGUGGGGAAUUUUGGACAAUGGGCGAAAGCCUGAUCCAGCAAUGCCGCGUGCAGGAUGAAGGCCUUCGGGUUGUAAACUGCUUUUGUACGGAACGAAAAGCUUCGGGUUAAUACCCUGGAGUCAUGACGGUACCGUAAGAAUAAGCACCGGCUAACUACGUGCCAGCCGCCGCCGUAA
rnacentral:rRNA from 1 species